GUCUCAGUUCGGAUUGUAGCUGCAACUCGACUACAUGAAGCUGGAAUCGCUAGUAAUCGCGAAUCAGAAUGUCGCGGUGAAUACGUUCCCGGGUCUUGUACACACCGCCCGUCACACCAUGGGAGUCAGCAACGCCCGAAGCCGGUGACCCAACCGAAAGGAGGGAGCCGUCGAAGGUGGGGCCGAUAACUGGGGUGAAGUCGUAACAAGGUAUC
rnacentral:rRNA from 1 species